GCCUUCGUGGUGUAAAGGUAGCACCCUCCGCUCUUAAUUGAGAGAUCCAGGUUCGAGUCUCGGCGAGAGCA
rnacentral:tRNA from 1 species